UACGUAGGGGGCGAGCGUUGUCCGGAUUUAUUGGGCGUAAAGAGCUCGUAGGCGGUUUGGUAAGUUGGAUGUGAAAUCUCCAGGCUCAACUUGGAGGGGUCAUUCGAUACUGCCAUGACUAGAGUUCGGUAGGGGAGUGUGGAAUUCCUGGUGUAGCGGUGAAAUGCGCAGAUAUCAGGAAGAACACCCGUGGCGAAGGCGGCUCUCUGGGACGGUACUGACGCUGAGACGCGAAAGCGUGGGGAGCGAACAGG
rnacentral:rRNA from 1 species